UACGUAGGGUGCAAGCGUUGUCCGGAAUUAUUGGGCGUAAAGAGCUCGUAGGCGGUUUGUCGCGUCUGCUGUGAAAACGCGAGGCUCAACCUCGCGCCUGCAGUGGGUACGGGCAGACUAGAGUGCGGUAGGGGAGAUUGGAAUUCCUGGUGUGGCGGUGGAAUGCGCGGAUAUCAGGAGGAACACCGAUGGCGAAGGCAGAUCUCUGGGCCGUAACUGACGCUGAGGAGCGAAAGCAUGGGGAGCGAACAGG
rnacentral:rRNA from 1 species